rnacentral:rRNA from 1 species
GAUGAACGCUGGCGGCGUGCCUAAUACAUGCAAGUCGAACGCAUUGUGGUUGAAAUGAUAUGAAGAACUUGUUCAGAUUUGAUUUUCAACAUUGCAAUGAGUGGCGAACGGGUGAGUAACACGUGGGAAACCCACCUCUUAGCAGGGGAUAACAUUUGGAAACAAAUGCUAAUACCGUAUAAUAAUUAAAACCGCAUGGUUUUAGUUUAAAAGAUGGUCUUGCUAUCACUAAGAGAUGGUCCCGCGGUGUAUUAGUUAGUUGGUGAGGUAAUGGCUCACCAAGACAAUGAUACAUAGCCGAGUUGAGAGACUGACCGGCCACAAUGGGACUGAGACACGGCCCAUACUCCUACGGGAGCAGCAGUAGGGAAUCUUCCACAAUGGACGAAAGUCUGAUGGAGCAACGCCGCGUGUGUGAUGAAGGUUUCGCUCGUAAAACACUGUUAGUAAGAGAGAAUGACAUUGAGAGUAACUGUUCAAUGU